GAAGACCAAGGGUUCCUGUCCAACGUUAAUCGGGGCAGGGUGAGUCGACCCCUAAGGCGAGGCCGAAAGGCGUAGUCGAUGGGAAACAGGUUAAUAUUCCUGUACUUGGUGUUACUGCGAAGGGGGGACGGAGAAGGCUAUGUUGGCCGGGCGACGGUUGUCCCGGUUUAAGCGUGUAGGCUGGUUUUCCAGGCAAAUCCGGAAAAUCAAGGCUGAGGCGUGAUGACGAGGCACUACGGUGCUGAAGC
rnacentral:rRNA from 1 species